rnacentral:lncRNA from 1 species
UCGAGUACCAGUACUUUUAUGCAAUAUUAGCAUUGCACUCUAAGCAGUUGGCUAGUUACUGAGAUGUAAAUCCUCUAAUAUGAAGUAGCAUAUGCAUCAUACAAAGGCUAUAGCAGUUAAAGACUUGAACUGCAUUAGGAGAUCUGUUGCUACAAUUAGCUGAUGUAUGAAAGAAUAAAGUUAUAAUCAUGGAGCUUAGUUGUAAUUCACUCGCUAAUUCAGAGCCAUUACUUCAGGAUCCCCAGUAGCAUCCUCCAGCCUACUCUUAUAUGAUCAUUAACUGCAUUCCUAAUCUCUUCAACCAAAUUCUUCUGUUAUUCCUCUAUUGCGUUCUGCAACUCAUCAACCUAGGGAAGAAGUUUUAACAUCAGCAAAAGAUAUCCAAUUAUAUCAAUCGAAAUUUUCUCAAAUACAUAUAAAACAUUAAGCACAUAGACCAAAGUUUAACUACUUAUCUAUCUACAAAUAUGUUAAACUUUCACAUUCGAAAAAUUUUAAGGUAGGAUAUAUGUUUGAGAAUAAAUUCAGAUUACAAUCAGUCUCCUAAACAUAUGAAGAGAUCAGAUAGCUCAUGAGUGAUUAAAUAUUUUAUCAUAAAUUACUGCAUAAAGAUAGGAAAAAAGCUAGAAUUACCUAAAGGUUCAUAGAGAAAUAAGUCUUGAAAAAGGAAUUCCAGGUGUGAUAAAGCACAUUUCAUAUUUUGUAUGUCAACAGACUUUGUACAUUUUAUUUAGGGACAUAUUCAUUUUUCAUGAUUGGAAUCCAAUUCUUCGUCUUGGGACAUCACAUUCAAUCAUUUUUUCACGACUUAAGACAAUAUUGGAAUCCUUAGACUAAUCUUUAAUCUUUGCCGACCUAGCUAUUUUUUAUUCCUGUUUCAAGAAAAAGAAGAAAGAUACGAGAGGAAAACAAAGCAUGAAAAUUGAAAAAAAAAGGAAGAACACUUACAUUGAAAUUAAGAAAUAACAUUAAAAAAAAAACAAAGAAAGGAAUCAUUGUGCCAUUUCAAGUUUUCUAGCUAGAAGAUAUCACAAUUUUUUUUUGUGUGUGUGUAUGCUUAGCAAUCUAUUUGUAGAAGUGGUCAAUUAUAACAAUCAAAUUUCUGAUCAAACUGCACAUAUCCAAGAGAGGAGCAGUCUUGAGUGCAGAAUCAAACAUUAAAUUCA